rnacentral:rRNA from 1 species
CAGCCGCAAACGAUGCGCGUUAGGUGUAUCGACGACCACGAGUCGUCGAGGUGCCGAAGGGAAACCGUGAAACGUGCCGCCUGGGAAGUACGGUCGCAAGGCUGAAACUUAAAGGAAUUGGCGGGGGAGCACCACAACAGGUGGAGCCUGCGGUUUAAUUGGACUCAACGCCGGAAAUCUCACCGGAUAAGACAGCAGAAUGAUUGCCGGGCUGAAGACUCUGCAUGACUAGCUGAGAGGAGGUGCAUGGCGUCAGUGACU